rnacentral:rRNA from 1 species
AUGGUUUCGUGGAGCGACGACGGCGAGGAAUCGGGCUACGAGUACUCUUCAGGCGGCUCCCCUAUCAAGAUCCCGGCUACAAUCGAGGACCCGAACUACUCUGGUGUUGACGAUGAGGUGAUGGUGAUGUGUGAGCAUGGCCAGCCGGCGAAGAGGCAUGUUUGCUUCGAAGGGAUUAGCACUGGGAGGAGGUUCAUUGCCUGCGGACUUGAUGAAGCAAGCAGUUGUGGUGUUGUUCAGUGGGAUUGCCAGCGUGCUAAUAGGAUGGCAUGUCUGGAACAUUCAUCACUUGUCCACAAUCUCACAUCACAGAAGAACAAGCUACACGAGACUUAUGAGAAGCUUGUUGAGGAUGUGAACAACCUACUUGAUACCCAGGACAAUAUACCCAAGGAAAAUGAAGUCCAACAAGGUGAACGUGAGGAGAUCACUCCUCCUUUGGACAACAAUAUUUCAGCUUUGAAGGAACAACUGGGUGCAAUGGAUGCUGAGAACAAAGAACUGAAGCAAAAUGUUGACCAGUUGAAGAGCAUUCAGGUUGCCCAAGGUAAUGUGAUUAGGAAUCUGAAGCUUGCUCAUUUGAAGGAGAAGGAAAAGUUGAGCACUAAGAGGAGGAAUUUGGAGUUUCACAUUGCUGAUCUUGUCAAAGCUAGUGACAAGAACAAGAGAAAGCUGAAGGACAUCAAGGAUAUUUGUGAUGAAGAGUGA